rnacentral:rRNA from 1 species
UACAGAGGUGGCAAGCGUUGUUCGGAAUUACUGGGCGUAAAGGGCGCGUAGGCGGUUCGAUAAGUCCUGUGUGAAAUCCCUGGGCUCAACCCAGGAACUGCGUCCGAUACUGGUUGGCUUGAAUCCGGGAGAGGGAUGUGGAAUUCCAGGUGUAGCGGUGAAAUGCGUAGAUAUCUGGAGGAACACCGGUGGCGAAGGCGGCAUCCUGGACCGGCAUUGACGCUGAGGAGCGAAAGCCAGGGGAGCAAACGGG